rnacentral:rRNA from 1 species
ACUCCUACGGGAGGCAGCAGUGGGGGAAUAUUGCACAAUGGGCGCAAGCCUGAUGCAGCCAUGCCGCGUGUGUGAAGAAGGCCUUCGGGUUGUAAAGCACUUUUCAGUUGUGAGGAAGGUGGUGUCGUUAAUAGCGGCAUCAUUUGACGUUAGCAACAGAAGAAGCACCGGCUAACUCCGUGCCAGCAGCCGCGGUAAUACGGAGGGUGCGAGCGUUAAUCGGAAUUACUGGGCGUAAAGCGCAUGCAGGUGGUUUGUUAAGUCAGAUGUGAAAGCCCGGGGCUCAACCUCGGAACUGCAUUUGAAACUGGCAGACUAGAGUACUGUAGAGGGGGGUAGAAUUUCAGGUGUAGCGGUGAAAUGCGUAGAGAUCUGAAGGAAUACCGGUGGCGAAGGCGGCCCCCUGGACAGAUACUGACACUCAGAUGCGAAAGCGUGGGGAGCAAACAGGAUUAGAUACCCUGGUAGCACAGAG